GUACUCGCUUCAACAGCACAUAUGCUAAAAUUGGAAUGAUACAGAGAUUAGCAUGGCCCUUGUGCAAGGAGGACACACAAAUUUGUGAGCGUUCCAUAUUUUU
ensembl:snRNA U6 U6 spliceosomal RNA